UGGGGAAUAUUGGGCAAUGGGCGCAAGCCUGACCCAGCAACGCCGCGUGAAGGAAGAAGGCUUUCGGGUUGUAAACUUCUUUUCUGAGGGACGAAGAAAGUGACGGUACCUCAGGAAUAAGCCACGGCUAACUACGU
rnacentral:rRNA from 1 species